CAGAUGUAUUGCUUCAAGCAGUGAAUUAUCAUAUGCAUUAAUUUAAAAUCAGAUUUGAGUUGAUGUGAUCCCCGCAACAUGAAAAUGUCAAGUUGAAAGUGGUGAUUGAAGGAUUGCAUAGCAUGUUGAGGAUUGAAGGGUUGCAUAGCCU